rnacentral:tRNA from 2 species
GCGCCCGUAGCUCAGUUGGAUAGAGCGUCUGCCUCCGGAGCAGAAGGCCGCAGGUUCAACUCCUGCCGGGCGCACCA